rnacentral:rRNA from 1 species
UACGUAGGGUGCAAGCGUUGUCCGGAAUUAUUGGGCGUAAAGAGCUUGUAGGCGGUUUGUCGCGUCUGCUGUGAAAUUUCGGGGCUCAACCCCGAACUUGCAGUGGGUACGGGCAGACUAGAGUGUGGUAGGGGAGACUGGAAUUCCUGGUGUAGCGGUGAAAUGCGCAGAUAUCAGGAGGAACACCGAUGGCGAAGGCAGGUCUCUGGGCCACUACUGACGCUGAGAAGCGAAAGUGUGGGGAGGCGAACAGG